UCUCUAAUUCACAUGAUAUUCCAAUUCGGUGCCACUAUAUGGCAAUCUUGUUAUCUCUCAUGUCUCAAUUAAACUUAGGUUUAAAUACGUAAAUCAACUCUCAUUUUCACAAUAGAAAACAUGAUGCUAAAUCUCGAUAGGAUGCCGAAUCAUAUGCUAGUUACGCAUGCUGUUUCUCUACUAUAUAGAGGUUCAAAAUUC
rnacentral:lncRNA from 1 species